CCGCACGUCUGUUCUCAAGGCUUCCCUGUGGGGAGUGUGGCCAGGACUUCACCCACGUACUCCUGCAGCUGGGUCACCUCUGCACCCGCCAGGGCCCGGCCCAGCAGUGCAAGGGCUACUGUGAGUGGGCCCUUCUGGUCGCCGUGGAGAUGGACCACGUGGAGAGCCAGCUGCGGGCCGUCCAGUGGCUGUGCUACUUCUACAGCAUCGUCACGCCCAGCGAGGCCCAGUGUAUCAUCUACCACGAGUUCCAGCUCUCCCUGGCCCACAAGGUGACCGACAAGGUGCUGGAGGGGGCAGCUCCUGCAGACCAUCAGUCAGCUCUACCUGUCCCUGGGCACCGAGCGGUGGCACAGAAUGUGGUCCUGUACACAGGCGACCCCAACCUGGGGUGGAGCUGUUUGAGGCAGCUGGAGACAUCUUCUUCAAUGGGGCCUGGGAGCGGGAGAAAGCCAUGUCCUUCUACCAGGUGAGCUGGCCUGUGCGCUGAUGUGGGUGGGCCUCAGGGGGGCACCUGGAGGGCUGAAGCACAGGUGUGGCAGGGCAGAGGCCUCCCACCUGGAGGCAAGGCCACCCAUGCACAUGCUUAGUUUCCCAGUGGUCUCACCGGGAAUGAUACUGACUGUACCCCUGCCCGGGACAAACGCCUGGGCCGUGGACAUGGCAAUAGCUCUACCCUUGCCUAGUUGUCUCAUCAGGCAUGAUAUUGACUGUGCCCCUGCCCAGGACAAACGCUCGGGUCUGGACAUGACAGUGGCUCUACCCUUUGCACCUGAUGAUCUCAAGCAACCAUGAGUGGGAAGUCCUGUCCCCA
rnacentral:lncRNA from 1 species